rnacentral:lncRNA from 1 species
GUGGGUGUGGAAAGUGGGUAGGCUGGAAAUUAAAAUCCUGCCUUUGUCUUCUUCUUUAAAGGCCAAGUUAAAUAGAGGAGGUGGGAGCUAUUUGGGUUGUUGCUGGUAUAGAAAAAUGCAAUCUCAAGAAUAUGCGAACAUUGCCACUUUGAAUAGAAAACAAUGCACUCUCCCUGACACAUUGUAUUUCAUCUUUGCCUGUUUGCUUCCAAGUUCCUCCUGCAUAAAAUAACAUUAUUUCUCAAUGUUUUGCCCUGAAGGCAAUUUAUAAAUGACUUUGCCAAUCACUGCAAGGGGAGUACUUCAUUCUGGUAGCCCUCACCCGGAAGGGUGCUUAAUCUUUUUGUCUUAAAUAUAUCCGGUUCAAAAAAGUGUAUUGAGGAGUUCCUGUUUCAGGAAGCAGAUUAAAAGCUGGCAGCAGGUUAGGAACUCGACAUAGUCUCUGUGAGGAUGCGCCUCGCUCAGUGGGAGCCUCAAAUGGCCCGUGACCUUGCUUCCUGGUUCUACCAAGGUGAUCAAAUCAGGUUUACUAACCUAAACGAGAUCUGCAACAGGAAGCACAACAUAUUACAAUCUCAGCUCCCAGAGGCUCAACCACAACAACCUCCAGCAAGAAGACUCAGGAGGGACAUUUACUUCACAGAGCACAUCUUACUCUCUGGCAGUCCUGCAGGAAGCUCAGCCACAGAGGCCAGGCGACAGUGGCCCAGCCCUGCUUCUGAUUGGAAGAGGAAGUAA